UGGUGAGGUGGUUCUUCUCAGUAAAAAGUAAAGGUACGCUUGAAACCCUUAAAUCUAACUGGUUUAGUUACUUACAUCGUGUGUUGCACUUUCACCACCGCUAACAAUCAGAAACAUCGCGCAGACGUGUACUCGCUCUGUAGUUUGUAGCUCGCGCUCCGGCUACUGUAAACAACUCCACCUUCUUUGAUUUGAUUGGCUAUCGCAUCAUUUUGCUUUUGACAAGUAGACUGCUGAUUGAGGCAGACAUAGAAAUAGGCGUUGCACAGUAUUUACAAUUAUAUAUUAGGCCGUUAUUAUUCCAAUAGUGAUUGCUAUAACACACCACGGGGAUCUUAAUGGUGGGCACGAGCCUGCGUGAAAAAAUGGAUUUGGUCGUAAGAGCGUGAGAAAUGGGGUCAAUUGCGUGUGCCUUGCUAUGUAGGAGUAUUUUCUCAAGGCCUGCGACUGAGGGUCAUAUUUCAAUUCAAAGGUAUGUAACUUACUCCGUUUUUUAUUAACAUGACUCUGACAAGCAUCAAAACACAGUUUGCUUUGGGCACCAAGUCCCCGGGGGCCACCAUCUUGUUUGCUCAGAAAAUAAAAACGUUUCAUUAUGUAUGAAAACGAAUCACAACAACAACAUACAUAGAUACAAACAAACAAACAAAAUGACGUUAUAUACAGCAUUUUGCGGUGAGUAAGCAGAUGACGCGACAUCCCCGCACCAAAAUUGCUUGGAUUUAUACGGACAGAUUAGCUUUGUCAUAUUAAAUUAAACUGCAGAUGCAGAAAUGCACUAUAUAAUUACAUAUUUGUAUAUAUUUAGUUUGUGUUGUUGUCAAAUACAAUUAUAAAUGAUAACAACAGCAUUUUUAAUAAAGUUUUAUUCUCACACGGUUUCGGGAUAAAAUUUUAGCUCGCAUUGCAUUCUGGGUAGCGGCGGCCAUUUUAGGGGACGCGGUCGUAAGGAUUCACAGCAAUAGUACGGGGAUAAAUGGAUCGAACAAUGAUCAAGUGUAAAUUAAGUCGCUUCCUUGGCCGCCAUUUUAUUUUUUCGAACUUGACCAGACUCGACCAAUCACAUUCUUAUUGUACGCCCACGCAUAGGUAUCUCAGGAGACAGGAAGUAACCCUAACAUUGAAUUCCGACAUGCCUUGAUGCCUUCCUGCCUUGGAAAGCUGCCUCAGAAGGCAGCAAUUUAGAGUUUUCGGACGCAGCCUGGAGCUAGGGGCAACCUUCCGAUCUCUCUGAUGAAGCCAAUACGGAAGUGACUUAAACUGCAAUUCAUCGAUUGGCCGCUUGAGGCUGGCUCCAAAAGGGAGUCAAUAGACCUCCAUUCUGAAAAAUGGCCAACUUUACAGCCUGGUACAAAAAGUGUUUUUGGUCUGUACAGCUAAUUUUGCCCUUCAUGACAACUGUGAGGGGGUUGAAUUUUUUUCUAACUAAUCUGUUUAAAUUAUAUUAAGCCUUAAACUUCUGCACUUGAGUGAGGGGUGAACGGCCACUGCUGUCACUAGAAUCGAGCUAGUCGGUAGGGGUGUGCCAUAGCAUACCGUUCACGAUAAUGCCGUUAUAAUUUUUUACAUGAUAAAAAAUGUCAUAUCAAUGAUAUAGCGACGUGAUGACGUAUGGUGCAUUUACGUUUCCUAACGCACAGCAACAACAGCUGAGAGCAAGAGCAGCAUGUCAGCAACGCGAGUACAACCAAGCUUUAAGGUACGCGAGGAGGAGAUAGCAGCAGCGGGUGAUGUGAAAUCAUUUGGAAAUCAUUUUCUAAAUAAACGCAACAUAUAGUCCAGUGGGACUUUUCAAAACACAUUUUUGACUGAUGUGACUUAUACUCCGGAGCUACUUACGGUCCGGAAAAUACAGUAUUUGGUUUGUAGCUCCACCCACAGAUGCGCUCUCACUUUCAGUGUGAAGAAAAAAGAAAACUGACUUUUUCUAAGUAUUAAUUGACCUUUAACAAAAUUCUGAUAUUUGUCUGAUAUUUUUGCUCAGUUUGCUUAUAAGUAACCACCUAUUUUUCCCUGUAAAGGAUGAUACUGAAGAACAGAAAGUGAUUGAGAUGCCUCCAUCUUGGGGAGCUAAAAUAUAGUAUUUUUAUAAAACUUAAAUUUCCUAACAAAUGUCUUUUUAAUGAGUUCUCUAUGUUCUUAUCACAGGUUUGGAAAAAUGCGUUACCCAGGAGUCAUGAAAGUUAUCUAGUACAGGAAAGUCAAGCACCUUAUCUUCUAAAAGAUGCUCUGGUGACCAGACUUACAGGGAUCUUGAGUCACAAAACCUGAGACUGUUAAGGAGUGGUUAAAACAUGGCAGUGAUUGUCUUGAGGAGGAAAAACUGCAGAACAUCAGGCGGGGAAGGAGCGAUGCUCUUAAAUAUGGUGGAGGAGAAGUUUCACAGAGCCAGUAAAGAAGUGGCUAAAAGGAUCGUUAUGAUGUCGGAUGCCAGAUCCACCUAAACUUUCAUCUAGAGCAGUGUUUCUAAAUCCUGGUCCUUGAGUACCCCCUCCUAGAAAGUUUUAUAUGACUCCUUAUUUAAAACACUUGAUUCAACUCAACAGCUUGUUAGGGAGACCAGUUAACCAUUCUGGAAGGAGGCUGAUUGGUUGUUUUAAAUAAGGAGACAUCUACAACUUUCUGGAAAGGGGUACUUGAGGACCAGGAUUGGGAAGGACUGAUCAUGACGAAGAUGGAAAGAUCCUAUUUCAUCAAAGCUAAAGAAGCAGGAGACUUGGGACACAAGCACAAGCUCACUCCAGACAUGGUUUCUGGCUUUCAGUCUUACUUGCAGGUUGACAGCGUCAGACAGUUUUUGGAGGAGGGCACAGCGUUGGAUGCCAGAUUCAAGUCAAAAGUGUCAGAUGAAGUGUGGUACAGACUGGAGGAGGAGCUGAUAUAAAUGAACAGGCUCAGGGCCAGCAGAUGAAUCAGGGGCUUAAAGAGAGAGCAGAAGACCAAGAUGACUGCAUAUCUGAUGAAGACAUCUGUGCAUCUGCCAGUGAAACAGUGAAGAGGCCAAAGCUCUCUGCCCUCGAGAAGCUGUUUGCUGUAGAGAACAUGGAAAUAAAAUGCUUUCAUAAAACAUCAUAAGGUGGAAACUGUUGGACAGUUAUGAUAGGCUAUGAACUCUGAGAUGGCAAAGAGAAAGGAGACAUAAGCCUGCCCCCAAUCCAAAUUUAUGCUUUGAUUUUAUAUCUGAAGUCUAGUAUUUGUUGCUGGCUGGAUUCAUGUUGUUAAUGUGCAGUUAAUGGAUAUACUAUAUAUGUGCUUAACAUAUAUAUUAUGUGCAUAAAUGUAUACCCCAUUGUUUGUAAAAUCUGAUUUCAGUGCCCACUGAUUUAUUGGGGCAGUGUGAUAAAAAUUU